UCCGCGAUAGUUUAACGGUUAGAAUUCGUGCUUGUCACGCGCGAGAUCGGGGUUCGAUUCCCCGUCGCGGAG
rfam:Eremothecium cymbalariae DBVPG#7215 chromosome 2, complete sequence.